UACGUAGGUGGCAAGCGUUGUCCGGAUUUACUGGGCGUAAAGAGCGCGCAGGCGGUCGAUCAAGUCGCGUGUGAAAGCCCCCGGCUCAACUGGGGAGGGUCAUUCGAUACUGUUCGACUCGAAGGCAGGAGAGGGAAGUGGAAUUCCGGGUGUAGUGGUGAAAUGCGUAGAUAUCCGGAGGAACACCAGUGGCGAAGGCGACUUUCUGGCCUGUUCUUGACGCUGAGGCGCGAAAGCUAGGGGAGCAAACGGG
rnacentral:rRNA from 1 species